GCUCCGAUCGUCUAGUCCGGCCAAGGACGCUGGCCUUUCAAGCCGGUAACCCGGGUUCAAAUCCCGGUCGGAGCA
rnacentral:tRNA from 1 species